rnacentral:rRNA from 1 species
GGGGAAUAUUGCGCAAUGGGGGAAACCCUGACGCAGCGACGCCGCGUGAGCGAAGAAGGCCUUCGGGUUGUAAAGCUCUGUUGUAAGGGACGAAGGAGCUGGGUAGUAACUGACCUGGCGGUGACGGUACCUUACCAGCAAGCCCCGGCUAACUACGUGCCAGCAGCCGCGGUAAGACGUAGGGGGCGAGCGGUGUCCGGAAUUACUGGGCGUAAAGAGCACGUAGGCGGGUAUUUAAGUCAGGUGUGAAAGACCGCGGCCCAACUGCGGGGUUGCACUUGAAACUGAAUAUCUUGAGGGCAGGAGAGGUCAGUGGAAUUCCUGGUGUAGCGGUGAAAUGCGUAGAUAUCAGGAGGAACACCAGUGGCGAAGGCGACUGACUGGACUGACCCUGACGCUGAGGUGCGAAAGCGUGGGGAGCAAAC